rnacentral:tRNA from 1 species
GGGGCUAUAGUUUAAUUAUAUAAUAAUACACCCUGUUUGCGUCAGGGAAAUGUGAUCGCCAUUUAGUAUCACUAGCCUUA